rnacentral:rRNA from 1 species
AGAGUUUGAUCAUGGCUCAGGAUGAACGCUAGCUACAGGCUUAACACAUGCAAGUCGAGGGGAAACGACAUCGAAAGCUUGCUUUUGAUGGGCGUCGACCGGCGCACGGGUGAGUAACGCGUAUCCAACCUGCCCACCACUUGGGGAUAACCUUGCGAAAGUAAGACUAAUACCCAAUGACGUCUCUAGAAGACAUCUGAAAGAGAUUAAAGAUUUAUCGGUGAUGGAUGGGGAUGCGUCUGAUUAGCUUGUUGGCGGGGUAACGGCCCACCAAGGCGACGAUCAGUAGGGGUUCUGAGAGGAGGGUCCCCCACAUUGGAACUGAGACACGGUCAAACUCCAACGGGAGGCA